rnacentral:rRNA from 1 species
CCUACGGGUGGCUGCAGUGGGGAAUAUUGGACAAUGGGCGAAAGCCUGAUCCAGCCAUGCCGCGUGUGUGAAGAAGGCCUUCGGGUUGUAAAGCACUUUCAGUGGGGAAGAAAGCCUUGGGGCUAAUACCCUCGAGGAAGGACAUCACCCACAGAAGAAGCACCGGCUAACUCCGUGCCAGCAGCCGCGGUAAUACGGAGGGUGCGAGCGUUAAUCGGAAUUACUGGGCGUAAAGCGCGCGUAGGCGGUCUGUUAAGCCGGUUGUGAAAGCCCCGGGCUCAACCUGGGAACGGCAUCCGGAACUGUCAGGCUAGAGUGCAGGAGAGGAACGUAGAAUUCCCGGGGUAGCGGUGAAAUGCGUAGAGAUCGGGAGGAAUACCAGUGGCGAAGGCGGCCUUCUGGACUGACACUGACGCUGAGGUGCGAAAGCGUGGGUAGCAAACAGGAUUAGAUACCCCUGUAGUC